UUUUCAGCAGUUUUGUAGCGUUUUGGAAAGUGGAACUAUGAGAGAGGGUGCUGCGAUGUUCCACAGUAGCUUCAGUGUGUUGAAACCAUGGGAAUACUUGCUGUCAGCCCUCAUUUGCAUUCAGAUAGAAUUUGCCUUAUCCCAAAUAUCCAUUACUACAAUACCCUUGAGGCCAGCUGUGGGGGAGACUGUACUCCUAGUUGUAGACUACAAAAAGGAGAUCUUAAACAUCAACUGGUACCGUGGCAGAGGGACAGCUGACAAUAUCAAUAUCCUAACACAUUCCCCUGGGUCAGAUUUCAACCCAACACCUGGUCCACAAUACACCGGGAGAGAAAAAGUUAUGGAUAAUGGAACCCUACAAAUAUCAAAUGUGAUGACCAAUUACAGUGGAGCCUACACUCUGCAACUCACUAUUCAAGAAGACCAUUUAGUAGAGACACAGGAACUCACUGUAGAAUCUGGAAGUGGAAAUGAAGACAACAUGCCACAAGAGACCACCAUGUCAAUCAGAAAUACCUUUCCUUCUCUUCUUACCACUACCAAAAUGAUACAACACAUAGGGCGUACAUAUUACAUCCUUCCUGUGCUGAUUACAACUGGAGUUGUAAUUGUCAGUGGCAUCCUGUUAAUUGGGGUUAUAAUAUGUCAAAAGAAAAAAAAGAAAAGAUCAUUAAAAGGAACAGUUUAUGAAACUGAACCCGGAACUGAAAGAGCAAUGGAGACAAGUAAAUCGUCAAGGGAAACAAGGCAGCCUGCCGUUAGGUGGACCCCAUAUCCCAUUCUACAAGACCACUACCCUUCUGAAUAUCAGAACAGCAAUGUCGCAGUGUAUGAAGAAGUCACUUACACCAAUGACAGUUUGGUGCCUAACAAUGCAGAAAGUGCCUACACAUUUCGAGAAAUCUAACUAGAAUGACUACAAAGAUUUUUAAACUUUUUCCGAAGACCUAGAAAACAAGUAAGUCAUCCAAGUACAAUCUGAGAAUUUUGAUUGCACAGAUUCUUCCUUAAUGCAUUGACUGCCACAUCAGUAUUGAACCCAACACAUGACCCACACCCCCAUGAUGUCAUUUAUAUUGUCUUCUAAAAAAUCUUCAUAUUUCAUUAAAUAUAUUUUAAUGCCUCUAACACAUAUUUUUUUUCUUAAGGCUAAGACACCAGUAGAAGUAACUGAGUGAGUCCAAAUAACCCAGAUAUUAAUUAGGCACCAGCCCACUUUAACUUUGAACUCCGUAUCAUUUCCUGAGUUCACAGCAAGGUCUCAAUUUCAUUUUCAAAAUUUUUUCUGACUUAAUCAAUUUAUAUUUGUAACAUCUUUCAUUUUUUUCCUUAUAAGAGAAAGCAGCAGUUGAGCUGGUUAAUCAUGAUCCUGCUGAAAAAUUUGAAUGCUUGGUACCUAUUGGACAAGUGUACAAGGUUAGCUCAAGGAAUUAUCAUAUUCAAUACAGUGGGGAGUUCGAUUCAACGUUUAAACAAUGGGUAGAAUACUAAACAAAUAAUAAAUAAAUCUUUUUCUUUUGUUGGGUAGUUAUCUAAUAAUCUUUAUGCCUAUACAUGAAUUUGCCACUAUUUAUUGUGUGUUGAAUUUAUUGCAUACUUAUCUCAAAUGUGAAUUUGGGUUGUUUUUUGUUGAAUUAAAGUUAAAGCUAAUUACACUUUUUUUCUGUUCUACAGGGACAAUACGUAGGAAAGGACAAAGAUCUUGCAAUAAAAGUGGUCAAAGUCAAAAAGGAAAUAACUGUAUUGUGUAUUAGCUUUGUGAAGGAACCAAGAAGACAGGGAACUUGAAGAGAUUAAUCUCCUACUAAAAUGUAGCAGGCAGAAGAACGUCGUCCAUCUUUACAGCGCAAUGAUCCAUGUCACAGAGCCAUCAGUGGAUAAUAAGCUAUGGUGUGUCAUGGAACUUUGUGAAGGUGGUUCCAUUAGGGACCUUAUGUAUCAGCAAGUUGCCAGGAGCCUGCCAGAAAAUUGGAUAAAGUGCAUCUGCGGGGUGGUCUUAAAGGGUUUGAAGUACUUGCAUAAGAACUGCAUAAUUCACCAAAACCUAAUGGCAAUGAACAUGCUGACAGCCAAGGCAGAAGUUAAGAUUAGAGCAGCCAUCAAAUAAAGUUGAAGAAGAGAAAAAUGUGCAACAGCAUUUUUCAAAAGCAAAAGAAGAACCAAAUAAGCAAGAACUUUCAGAGCUGCACAAACACUUAGAGGUGCAGGAAAAUGUAGAUGUGAAGGAACAUCUUGAGGUGCAAUGAGGACUUCAUCCGAAUAAAGACGACCUGUACGAAGGCCAGCAGUCUGAAGAGCAGAGACAGAAAGAACUUUCUCUUUGUAGAUAAUUUUGCCCUAUCACUUAUAGAGCUCAUGUUAAAGUACAUAAAAACUGUAGUGAGAAUUUC